UACCUCUGCUUCUGCU
rnacentral:misc_RNA from 1 species